rnacentral:lncRNA from 1 species
AUGCCAGCCAUUCAGUCACGGUUGACAACCAAGGCCUGGCAAGUCGCCAGGCAAAUGUGGCUCCAGGCACCUCUGUCCUCCUCACCCUGGUCUUGUCACGAUUCGUCAGCAGUCCGGGGAGGCAGAGAAGCUGAGACACACGGUGGGGGGGAGGUGGCAGAGAAUGCGGUGCAGUCCAGGAGGCAAGGCCCCACCUGCUCACACCCUCGGGGCCCGGAUGUGCCCCCACCUGCUCUGCACUACCCUGAGACCAAGAGAGGCCUGCCUGACCAGGACUUUGAGGCUCCCAGCAAAUCAAGGUGAUUCCCUGCUGGACGCUCCCACUUUCCAGAUCUGAGGAAGCAAGGCCCAGAGAGGAGAGACAGCGAGAGAACACAAGCAGGGGGAGAGGGAGAAGCAGGCUUCCCGCUGAGCAGGGAGCCUGAUGCGGGGCUCCAUCCCAGGACCCCGGGAUCAUUACCUGAGCUGAAGGCAGAAGCUUAACGACUGAACCACCCGGGUGCCCCAAUAAUAAUUAUUAAAAUAGUUAUAGUGACAGCUCUCCUUCCCUCGGUACCCACUAAGUGGCCACAGUCCUCUACAAGCCCCCCACCUUGACCCAGAGGUAAACAGAAGCUCCGAGACCCAAAGUCACUCACUUGAAGCCCCCCCCCCAAAAAAAGCUUCCACUGGCUGAACAUCUCAGGCAUCCUCAUGGAAGCUGGGUCACUGUCCUAGUCAGGAAGGGGAAACUGAGGCGUGUUCAAAAACCAGGACAACCCUGCCGGAGCCACACAGCCCGGCAUCAGCUGAACAGGGAGAAAACUGAACCCCAGGGGAAGCCACGAGCUGAGGUCCCCAGGCAGGAAUGUUGGCCCAGCGCCCGGCAAGGCUGGGGGUCAGCGGUGGUCCCCUGGAGAAAAUACAAAACCCAACCUGGGGAGACCCGGGGCCUGUUCCUGCCAGAUCCUUCCAAUCAGUGCGCUAACAAUCUCCACACAAACAGCAGUAACAGUAACAGCCAGAGCGCAGAGAGCGUCCUCCACUUCUCCAUCCUGAGUCCGCCCUAUCCUGGGAGGUGGGCGUAGUGGGGUGGGGACAGGGGUCCAGGGACGCCUCGCUGUGUCCAUCGCUGCGACGGGGCAGUGCCGGGAGCGACUUCCUUCCCGGCCGGGCUGGAGCCGGCCUUGGAAAUGCAGACCACUACUAUUACCGACGGGGGAGGGCAACGGGGUUAUUGAGACCCGGCGCUCCAGGAUCUCCCGGCACCUUGAGGGUAAACGCGGUGGACACCUGACCCCAGGGACCUGCCGGGGCUUCCCUAGAACCCCGAUCCUCCCGUCCCCACCAAAGGCGUCCGCUAGAUCCUCAGGGGCCC